UACAAAUCAGUUUUUCUCUAUUUUGAAUUUUAGGGUUCUGAGAACCCCAUUGAUAUUGAGAGCAUUGUGUAUCCAAAGGCAAGGUUGAGUGUGCUGCCGCGGUCGUUCUCAACUCCUUCGCCUACCUCCCCGUGUCGUAGAGCGUUACUAAUCGCCAUCCCACCACCUCAUCCUACACCUCGACUUCGAUGUUGACACCAUUGACACCACCCUUGUCACUAACCUCGACCUCCACCUCAUCCAUGUCCACAUCUCGCGUGUCGAGGAGAUCACUAACACCGUCAUGGCGCUCUUCGUCGGCCUCCUCCGUCACACACACAUCAUCUCUCGCCAUGUGGUCUUUAUCUUCGAUUGGCUUAGCUCCGUCCAGUCUCUCUACUACGAGAUGCGUCGUUGUUUGACCUCGUUCUCAGCAUCGUCGAAAUCUCCAGGUUCGCUAGAUGAACUUGAUUGCAAAGUUGAAUAACCCAUACAUUGUGGAGUACAAAGAUGCUUAGGUGGAGAAGAUGUUGGUGAUGCAGGUGACUCUGGUGCAGCUUAGUCGCGGAGAGGGGAUUGACUUGGGGAACUGUUAUAUGUAUUUAUUUAUUUUGAAAACAAUUGUAAACCCUGAUGGGUGACUUGAUGUCAUUGUGGUUUUAGUUUUGUAAUAGACGCUCUAAAAAUUAUCCGCUCAAUUAAUAAAGCUUUAAAUUUUCCCGAGUUUUGGGAAAAUGAG